rnacentral:rRNA from 1 species
GACGUAGGGCGCGAGCGUUGUCCGGAUUUAUUGGGCGUAAAGAGCUCGUAGGCGGCUUGUCGCGUCGACUGUGAAAUCCCGCGGCUCAACCGCGGGUCUGCAGUCGAUACGGGCAGGCUAGAGUUCGGUAGGGGAGACUGGAAUUCCUGGUGUAGCGGUGAAAUGCGCAGAUAUUGGGAGGAACACCAGCGGCGAAGGCGGCACUCUGGGCUGGUACUGACGCUGAGGAGCGAAAGCGUGGGUAGCGAACAGG